UACGAAGGGGGCUAGCGUUGUUCGGAAUUACUGGGCGUAAAGCGCACGUAGGCGGGUCGUUAAGUCAGGGGUGAAAUCCCGGAGCUCAACUCCGGAACUGCCUUUGAUACUGGCGAUCUUGAGAUCGGAAGAGGUGAGUGGAAUUCCCCAGUGUAGAGGUGAAAUUCGUAGAUAUUCGGAAGAACACCAGUGGCGAAGGCGACUCACUGGACAUGUAUUGACGCUGAGGUACGAAAGCGUGGGGAGCAAACAGG
rnacentral:rRNA from 1 species